rnacentral:rRNA from 1 species
UACAGAGGGUGCAAGCGUUAAUCGGAAUCACUGGGCUUAAAGCGUUCGUAGGCGGGCUUGCAGGCGCGUUGUGAAAGCCCCCGGCUCAACCGGGGAACUGCUUGCGAACCGCAAGUCUUGAGUCAAGUAGGGGCGGUCGGAACGAUAGGUGGAGCGGUGAAAUGCGCAGAUAUCAGGAGGAACACCGAUGGCGAAGGCAGGCU